UCUAAAACUCGAGAUAUGAGCUGAAAACCAAAUAGUGUUUGAGCUGCAUGACAAAUUUAGACUUCUCCGUUGUUGUUACCAUUUGAACUAAAAAAUGGCACUUUUAAAUCUUGGGCUCCUCAUGAAAGUUUUAGGCCUAUGUCUUAGCUUUCUAUA
rnacentral:pre_miRNA from 1 species